rnacentral:tRNA from 1 species
ACGACCGUAGCUCAGUUGGUUAGAGCACUACCUUGACAUGGUAGGGGUCGGUGGUUCGAAUCCACUCGGUCGUU